UCAAUUUCAGAUCACAUCGAGGUAUUACAGUAGCGUGCAAGCGGAAUGGGUUUUGAGCUCCGUUGGAAUCAAUCUUGUGGGCCAGCAGUGAUGAGUAGUGCUGUUCAUAUUCAAAUUUUUUAAAAAACGAAGUUCUCCGAUUAUUCGAAUAAUCGGAUUUCAACGAAGUCUUUGAAGUUGAAAAUAAAAUCGGAUUUUUUGUAAAUCUGAAGUCUUCGAAUAUCCGGAUUUGCGGUUUUUAUUUGCAGUGAAAUUAUUCGAAGACUUCGUAAAGUAAGAGCACACUUUGGUAUUUUAUGCAGAAAAUUAUAUGCGUGAUGAGUCGAGGUAACGCAUGAGACGUGCAUAGGAGCAUUCCAUAUUACCCGUAUUUAUACGGUGCCAUAAAGACGCAUAAGCCCGACAAGCUCAUCCGACCAAUUGGCUCACCUCUCCACACAAGUGGAUAAUGUGAAUCAUCUCACCAAUAAUUUAUUGCAGCUUCUACCAUGUCAAGGGUAUGUUCUGAUGACUACGGAUAAAAGGAUAUGUAUCCCCGGAAUAGCAUUAUCAGAUUGUGGUCAUGUUUACAAAAUUUACUAGUAGAGCCGAGAUUCCAUUAAAUGUCAUUAAAAAU